CAGAGCUGAGUCCCUCAAUACAGCAGGUAUAGAUCUACCAGAGCUGAGUCCCUCAAUACAGCAGGUAUAGAUCUACCAGCACUGAGUCCCUCAAUACAGCAGGUAUAGAUCUACCAGAGCUGAGUCCCUCAAUACAGCAGGUAUAGAUCUACCAGAGCUGAGUCCCUCAACACAGCAGGUAUAGAUCUACCAGAGCUGAGUCCCUCAAUACAGCAGGUAUAGAUCUACCAGUGUUUCGAUAUAAGUCAUGAGUCAUGAAUGACGUACAAGAGGAAGUAGCAACCUAAAUAUAGCUCUCUUGUAACGAACCUCGUCCUCCUCUUCUGAGGAGGAGAAGCGAGAAGGAUCGGAGGACCAAAACGCAGCGUGGUAAGUGUCCAUAAUGUUUAUUUAAAAAAUAAACUGAACACUACGAAAUACAAAACAAUAAACGUGAAAUGAACGAAACAGUCCCAUGUGGCGACAAACACUGACAUGGAAGACAAACACCACCACCCAAAACUGAAACCCAGGCUACCUAAGUAUGAUUCUCAAUCAGGGACAACAAAUGACAGCUGCCUCUGAUUGAGAACCAUACUAGGCCGAAUUCAAAAAUCUACAUAGAAAAACAAACAGACUGCCCACCCAACUCACGCCCUGACCAUACUAAAACAAAGAUAAAAUAACAGAACUAUGGUCAGAACGUGACAUCUCUAGCCUUCAUAUAGUUCCCUGUCUUACUAUACCUCUCUGGCCUUCGUAUAGUUCCCUGUCUUAAUAUAGCUCUCUAGCCUUCAUAUAGUUCCCUGUCUUACUAUACCUCUCUGGCCUUCAUAUAGUUCCCUGUCUUACUAUACCUCUCUGGCCUUCAUAUAGAUCCCUGUCUUAAUAUACCUCUCUAGCCUUCAUAUAGUUCCCUGUCUUAAUAUACCUCUCUAGCCUUCAUAUAGUUAGUUCCCUGUCUUAAUAUACCUCUCUGGCUUUCAUAGAGAUACAGAGAGAUCCCUUCAUAUAGAGAUCCCUUC
ensembl:lncRNA